GAAAGUAAGCAAGGGCAGACGGUGGAUGCCUUGGCUCUCGGAGGCGACGAAGGACGUGAUAAGCUGCGAAAAGCCCGGGGGAGGCGCAAAUAGCCGUUGAUCCCGGGAUAUCCGAAUGGGGCAACCCGGCAGGCUGAAGGCCUGCCAUCCCGUAAGGGAGGCGAACGUGGGGAACUGAAACAUCUAAGUACCCAUAGGAGGAGAAAAUAAACAAUGAUUCCGUAAGUAGUGGCGAGCGAACACGGAAGAGCCCAAACCCGUGCCGUCUAGGCGACACGGGGGUUGUAGGACCACGACGUGGCAAGAUAGAGUCAAGUGGAACGCCUUGGAAAAGGCGACCGUAGAGGGUGAUAGUCCCGUACACGACUGACGAUUGAAGCCUAGUGGCAUCCUGAGUAGCGCGGGGCACGAGAAAUCUUGCGUGAAACUGCGGGGCCCAUCCCGUAAGGCUAAAUACUCCCGAGAGACCGAUAGCGAACCAGUACCGUGAGGGAAAGGUGAAAAGAACCCCGAGCAGGGGAGUGAAAUAGACCCUGAACCCGUCUGCCUACAAGCGGUCGGAGCAUCGUCAAGAUGUGACGGCGUGCCUUUUGCAUAAUGAACCUACGAGUUACCUUCCCCGGCAAGGUUAAGUACCUAAGGUACGGAGCCGAAGCGAAAGCGAGUCUGAAGAGGGCGGCCAGUCGGGGGGGGUAGACGCGAAACCGAGUGAUCUACCCUUGGCCAGGUUGAAGGUUGGGUAACACCAACUGGAGGACCGGAUGGGUAAGCGUUGAAAAGCUUUCCAAUGAGCUGAGGGUAGGGGUGAAAGGCUAAUCAAACUCGGAGAUAGCUCGUACUCCCCGAAAUGCAUUUAGGUGCAGCCUCUUUAUAGUAUAUCGUGAGGUAGAGCGACUGAUUGGAUGCGAGGGCUUCACCGCCUAUCAAGUCCAGAUAAACUCCGAAUGCGCGAUAUAUAUUUACAGGGAGUGAGGGCGCGGGUGCUAAGGUCCGUGUCCGAGAGGAGAAGAAUCCAGACCACCGGCUAAGGCCCCCAAAUGAUCGUUGAGUUGAACUAACGAGGUCGGAUCGCAGAGACAGCUAGGAUGUUGGCUUGGAAGCAGCCAUUCAUUUAAAGAGUGCGUAACAGCUCACUAGUCGAGCGAUCUGGCGUGGAUAAUAAUCGGGCAUAAACGAUCUGCCGAAGCCGUGGAUGUCGUAAGACAUGGUAGGGGAGCAUUCCAUGCGGCGUCGAAGAUGAGGGAUGACCCUUGUUGGAGCGCAUGGAAAAGCAAAUGUAGGUAUGAGUAACGAUAAGGGGGGCGAGAAACCCCCCCGCCGAAAGACCAAGGUUUCCUGAUCAACGCUAAUCGGAUCAGGGUGAGUCGGGACCUAAGGCAAAGCCGAACGGCGCCGCCGAUGGAAGAAUGGGUUAAUAUUCCCAUACUGCCUCAUGGAGUGACGUGGAGACGGAGAAGUGACAGUCCUGCCGGCUGACGGAAUAGCCGGUUGAAGGGUGUAGAUAUUGAUUCCCGUAGGCAAAUCCGCGGGGAGAGUCGAACCUGACAGUAUACCGAGUACUUGUACGAGGUAAUAUGGACGUAACCAUGCUCCCAAGAAAAUCCGCUAAACUUAUCCAUGCGGCACCCGUACCGUAAACGGACACACGUGGUCGGGUUGAGAAUACUGAGGCGCUCGAGUGACUCACGGUUAAGGAACUAGGCAAAUUGACCCUGUAACUUCGGGAUAAAGGGUCCUCGUCGUAAGGCGAGGCGCAGAGAAUAGGUCCAGGCAACUGUUUAACAAAAACACAUGGCUGUGCUAAAUGGAAACAUGACGUAUACAGCCUGACACCUGCCCGGUGCUGGAAGGUUAAGAGGAGAUGUCAUCGCAAGAGAAGCGUUGAAUUGAAGCCCCAGUAAACGGCGGCCGUAACUAUAACGGUCCUAAGGUAGCGAAAUUCCUUGUCGGGUAAGUUC
rnacentral:rRNA from 1 species